UAAUCUAUUAUUUUUAAUCUACCUUCACAAAGCUUAACGAACAGCUAGCUUUGCAACAAAAACAUAACCAACGUUCUACUUUUGAAGCCAAUUUGUACAGAAGAGAAUAAUUCAUUGAAGAUUCUCCAAAUCAAGUUCGAAGAUAAUCAAUUAUUUGGAAAAAUUCAGGAAAAAUUCGCGUGGAACGGAUGAAAACAAGCCACUAAAAAUAACGUUUCUUUUAUCGGUGUAUCUCCUUUGUUUUCACCGCAUAUUGCUAACGUGUUCUCCGACAGUUUCUCUACCAUUGCAACAGUGUAUAAUCGCAAUACGCGGUGUAUGUAGAAAGUGAACAGGCUAGACGUUUUUGAAAGGAAGAAACGCGAAAUAGAAAUCAUUCUGAGCGGUUAAAUGGCAAAAUACUGCUACGUAUAGCUUGCAAGGUGGUGAAGUUAAAUCACGACUUCGACGAGCCCACGUGACCGGAGACAUUUAGAUGACUCACAAUCAGUGACACUAAAAGGAAACGAAGAAUGAAAUAGAAAUUUGCAAACUACGACCGAACUUUUAAUGGCAUAAAAAACAGAGGACUAUGCUGAAGAUUCAUUAGUAUUAUUAGUUUUGAUAGUCAAAACUUAAUCAAACAGAAUAUUUCACUGAACUUCAACAAUAGAAGAAUAACAACGAUAUGCUAACGAAAUUAAGAAUUGAAGAAAUAUUCAAGAGAAAUCUGGAUGCUAAUGAACGCCAUUUUGCAAAAUGAAAUUUGGAUUUCUUCUUGAUUCAAACUGUUGUCAGUGUACCGCGAAAAUAGAAAUUACAAAAAGUAUCUUAUUAACCGGAUGAUGAAUCCUUCAACAAAGUAAAAGAAAAACUUCGUGGGAUGUGAAGCAUCCUAUAAUAAAACUAUAAGACAGGAGGAGCAACUUUACAAGAAGAGAAAGUUAGCAGGUUAAAGGGAACUUUCUUGCGAUCCCUCCAUUGAACCCAUACUUUCAGAGAGAACAACGAUGAUCGUAACUUCGGUAUCAUCGAGUACUGGAAACAAGAAAAAUCCACGAAGUCACGUUACGUCGUACCAAUUAGGCGUCUGUUCUCAUGCAAACGCCAGCGGCGAGCGUUUAUCGGUCACGUAAGAGUUUCAAAAGAAUAGCAUCAUAAUCGUUCACAA